AAGACCUUGUCCUGCCCCUAUUGCUGUCUUUCUCUAGGGUAUCUAUGGCUCAACAAGUGUAAACACAAAACAUUAAUCCUUUUCCAUUUUUAUGUCUUUAUUAGACAAGGUCUGUAGGAUACCUGACAUGAGGUAGUGCUCUCUCAGAUAUUUGUUAACUCCCCAAAUCUUGGUGAAGGUUUAAUCCUAGGUCUCUUGGCAGCAAUAGUUUUUACCAACUUUUUAUGCUGGCACCAUAAGAACAUUAUUCCUUUUCUUUUCAUUCUCUCAUUAUGAUAUAUUUUGCCAUAUUUGUCUUCAUAGAGAUUGAUUUAACUUGAUAUGCAACUCGCUUCUUUUGGGGUUUGUUUUCAAAUGAAUAAUGUAUGGCUUUUUCCUUUUACCUUUUUACCUAUUCAUCCUUGAAUGAAAUGGUUAAUUUGGAUCCUAUUUUAAGAUAUAUAAAACAUGGAUGAUUACACACUGAUGCCCUAAUGCACCUUUUUUUUUAAGUUGUAAACAAAGACUUUAGCUUGUUGUUGGCUUGUUCUGUGUUGCUAAAGCAUUGAUGUAGCAAUUGGGAAUAUGCCAAAGUCGAUACUUGAUUGAUUCUUACCAUAUUUUUAUUGCUUUGUUGUUAUAUUCGAUUCCCAUUCUCAUGUUUUCUCAUAUUCUUGUUCAUUUUUUAAAGUUUUUCUUAUUUUUAUAUGCUUCAACCUCCUUUCGCUGAAAUAAGCUCUAAAAUGGAAAUCUUAACAUUUGCAGCUAAUAAGAUGAAAAAUGAAAGCAAAGGAAAGGGCCUCAAAUUUGCAUAGUAGAGGGUCUUUUUCUUACGUACAUUCAUAGGAUUUCAAAGCAUCAAUGAUUUCUUUGAGAAGAACAAUUUGCUUGUCUACAGCUUGGAUUACCGAAAGCUACUCAAGUUUAUGAUAUUCUGUAGUAAUGAUUUAGAUCUAUACAAUUAUUUUAAAUUUGACUCUUAAAAUGAUGAAUUGAUUUUCUCAUCAAGGUCGAUGCAGUGGUAGGAUUAGCUUAGCUCUGUAAUUUUCUAUAAGCUAUAUAUCGAAGGUUAGAUAAUAAUAAGGAUUUAAGUGCCGGUGCAUCCUGGACUGCAUCGGAUACAAUAUCAGUACCAGUAUGCUCUCAUGCGAAUAUCGUAUAGGUACAUGUAUAAUAUGCUCAUUUGUGCUGUUUUGGCACAUGCAGGCGUUCUAUAGUUUGGUAUGGAAGUGUAAUGUACUGGUCCCUAACCUAUCAGUAAGGUACCAUUAUGUGUAUAGAUGCUGGGAUGAUUCCCACAUUGAGAAGGGUUUCUUGGGAAACUGAACUGAGAAACUGGUGCAAAGCAUUUGUUUUAUGAAGUGCAAAAUUUGGGUUUCCCACUUUUGUAUUACAUGUGAAUGAGAACUCCUACAAGAUACCUGUUGGAAAAGGGACUUUUUGUAUAUUAUUAUAAACCGGGAUCAAUGGUUGAAAGGGGCUUGAUAAAAACACCCUUAUAAUAUCAUUUUAUGCAUCUUUUUUCUCACAUCAGAGCAUGUGGAGAGUGUUAUUAUAAGGAGACUUUACAAAUAUCCAUAUAAAAUUGUAUAUAUGAAAUUUAUCAAACUUUGCUGAGCACAAGAAAACAAUAAGAAACUGAUACAUAAACUAGAAUCGUCAUAGUUUCAUAUCAGUCAUUUUAAGUUUUGAUGUAAGACCUUGUCCUGCCCCUAUUGCUGUCUUUCUCUAGGGUAUCUAUGGCUCAACAAGUGUAAACACAAAACAUUAAUCCUUUUCCAUUUUUAUGUCUUUAUUAGACAAGGUCUGUAGGAUACCUGACAUGAGGUAGUGCUCUCUCAGAUAUUUGUUAACUCCCCAAAUCUUGGUGAAGGUUUAAUCCUAGGUCUCUUGGCAGCAAUAGUUUUUACCAACUUUUUAUGCUGGCACCAUAAGAACAUUAUUCCUUUUCUUUUCAUUCUCUCAUUAUGAUAUAUUUUGCCAUAUUUGUCUUCAUAGAGAUUGAUUUAACUUGAUAUGCAACUCGCUUCUUUUGGGGUUUGUUUUCAAAUGAAUAAUGUAUGGCUUUUUCCUUUUACCUUUUUACCUAUUCAUCCUUGAAUGAAAUGGUUAAUUUGGAUCCUAUUUUAAGAUAUAUAAAACAUGGAU
rnacentral:lncRNA from 1 species